UACGAACCGUCCUAACGUUAUUCGGAAUCACUGGGCUUAAAGGGUGCGUAGGCGGCUCCGUAAGUUGGGUGUGAAAUCCCUCGGCUUAACCGAGGAACUGCGCUCAAUACUGCGGGACUUGAGGGAGACAGAGGUAAGCGGAACUUAGGGUGGAGCGGUGAAAUGCGUUGAUAUCCUAAGGAACACCGGUGGCGAAAGCGGCUUACUGGGUCUCUUCUGACGCUGAGGCACGAAAGCUAGGGUAGCGAACGGG
rnacentral:rRNA from 1 species